CUUGGUCAUUUAGAGGAAGUAAAAGUCGUAACAAGGUCUCCGUUGGUGAACCAGCGGAGGGAUCAUUACCGAGUACUAUAACUCAUAACCCUUUGUGAACCUUUAUACCUGUUGCUUCGGCGGCGCGCCUCUCGGGGCGUGCCCGCCGGCAUUAUCAGAAUCUCUGUUCGAACCCGACGAUACAUCUGAGUGUUCUAAGCGAACUGUUAAAACUUUCAACAACGGAUCUCUUGGCUCCAGCAUCGAUGAAGAACGCAGCGAAACGCGAUAUGUAAUGUGAAUUGCAGAAUUCAGUGAAUCAUCGAAUCUUUGAACGCACAUGGCGCCUUCCAGUAUCCUGGGAGGCAUGCCUGUCCGAGCGUCGUUUCAACCCUCGAGCCCCCGUGGCCCGGCGUUGGGGAUCUGCCCAGGCAGUCCCCGAAAACCAGUGGCGGACCCGUCGGGCCCUUCCUUUGCGUAGUAAUAUCUGCCUCGCAUCGGGAGCCCUCGGGCUAUCCGGCCUCUAAACCCCCCUCAAGCCCGCUCCGGCGGCACCAAGGUUGACCUCGGAUCAGGUAGGAAUACCCGCUGAACUUAAGCAUAUCAAUAAGCGGAGGAAAAGAAACCAACAGGGAUUGCCCUAGUAACGGCGAGUGAAGCGGCAACAGCUCAAAUUUGAAAUCUGGCUUCGGCCCGAGUUGUAAUUUGUAGAGGGAGCUUUUGGCGAGGCACCUACUGAGUCCCCUGGAACGGGGCGCCAUAGAGGGUGAGAGCCCCGUAUAGUAGGACGCCGAGCCUUUGUAAAGCCCCUUCGACGAGUCGAGUUGUUUGGGAAU
rnacentral:sRNA from 1 species